GACGAACGCUGGCGGCGUGCUUAACACAUGCAAGUCGAACGGAAAGUGCCCAGCUUGCUGGGUGACUCGAGUGGCGAGCGGGUGAGUAACACGUGGGUGAUCUGCCCUGCACUUUGGGAUAAGCCUGGGAAACUGGGUCUAAUACCGAAUACACCCUGCUGGUCGCAUGGCCUGGUGGGGGAAAGCUUUUGCGGUGUGGGAUGGGCCCGCGGCCUAUCAGCUUGUUGGUGGGGUGAUGGCCUACCAAGGCGACGACGGGUAGCCGGCCUGAGAGGGUGUCCGGCGACACUGGGACUGAGAUACGGGCCAGACUCCUACGGGGGGCGGCGGUGGGGAAUAUUGCACAAUGGGCGCAAGCCUGAUGCAGCGACGCGGCGUGAGGGGUGACGGCCUUCGGGUUGUAAACCUCUUUUAGUAGGGAAGAAGCGAAAGUGACGGUACCUGCAGAAAAGCACCGGCUACCUACGUGCCAGCAGCCGCCGUAAAAC
rnacentral:rRNA from 1 species